GAAGCAACAUGUGAGCUGACAGCUGAAAAAGGUGCCACCAGAACGUGCCCUCAGCAACGUCACACCGUCUCCACAGCUGAUGACUCCUACCUGUGGAGAUGCAGGACUUGCCGUCGUCACCCAGGAAGUAACCACUGGCGCAGGAACACACCACCGUGUUCUGC